GUCCCUGUUGCGCAAUGCAUAGCGUGUUGGACUUCGAAUUCAAAAGUCGUCGGUUCGAAUUCCACCUGGGAUG